rnacentral:tRNA from 2 species
GGCUGAGUAGCAAAAUGGUUAUGCACCGGACUGCAACUCCGUUGACGCCGGUUCGAUUCCGGCCUCAGCCUCCA